GGCUCAGGAUGAACGCUGGCGGCGUGCUUAACACAUGCAAGUCGAACGAGGUAUAUUUCAGCAGAGGAUUCGUCCAAAGCAGGGAUAUACCGAGUGGCGGACGGGUGAGUAACGCGUGGGUAACCUGCCCCAUACAGGGGGACAACAGAGGGAAACUUCUGCUAAUACCGCAUAAGCGCUUUUCAUGGCAUCAUGGGAAGCGGAAAGCUCCGGCGGUAUGGGAUGGGCCCGCGUUGGAUUAGGCAGUUGGCGGGGUAACGGCCCACCAAACCGACGAUCCAUAGCCGACCUGAGAGGGUGACCGGCCACAUUGGGACUGAGACACGGCCCAGACUCCUACGGGAGGCAGCAGUGGGGAAUAUUGCACAAUGGGCGCAAGCCUGAUGCAGCGACGCCGCGUGAGCGAAGAAGUAUUUCGGUAUGUAAAGCUCUAUCAGCAGGGAAGAAGAUGACGGUACCUGCACAAGAAGCUCCGGCUAAAUACGUGCC
rnacentral:rRNA from 1 species